UUAUGGAAAUAAUUGGCCCCAUUGACUCACUGCACGAUCACUUUAUGCCAUAGUGAAGUCUGUUUUUGCUUAGGUAUUCUUUUUUUUAAUGGCUUUUUUCAAUAACUUAAAAUUUUUUAUCAUUCAAACUGAUAUUAUAUCUAUGCCUUAUUUUGAUUAACUAGUAAACUGUUCAGUGUUUAAUAGAACUCUUCUGUCUCUCAUGUGCAGGUGCCAUCUUCAAACAGCUCCAUUAUUUAUGUCUGGUGCACAGUUUUGACUUUAGAACCCAGCUCUCAAGUGCAGCAGCGAAUGGUGAGUGCUUUCAGAUCCUAAAAUAUGGCAUACGACUUUGACCUUUCCUGUUCUGAAAUAAAUUAAGGUCAGAGUGACCCAGGGAAGAGAUUUAUUACAAGUUUGUCUCAGCAUCAAACAGCUGGAAUACUGCAACAAAGCAAAUAUGAAAGUUGUUCUGUCCUUUUAUUUUUAUAGAUUGUGUUCAGCCCUCUUUUUAUCAUGAGGAGUCAUCUUCCAGACCCCAUUAUCAUACAUUUGGAGAAAAGGAGUCUGGGAUUGAGUGAAACACAAAUUAUUCCAGGAAAAGGACAGGAAAAACCACUGCAAAACAUAGAACCUGACCUUGUACAUCACCUAACAUUUCAAGCAAGAGAAGAGGAUGACCCUUCACACUGUGCUGUUCCCAUCUCAACAUCCCUCAUUAAGCAGAUAGCCACUAAGAUACACCCCGAAGGCACAGUCACUCAGAUACUUGAUGAGUUCUACGGGCCAGAGAAGUUCCUUCAACCCACAUGGCCCUAUAAUAAAAAGGACUCUGACAGGAAUGAGCAACUGAGCCAGUGGGACAGCCCAAUGCGAGUGAAGCUGUCAGCCUGGAAGCCAUAUGUGAGGACCUUAUUGAUAGAAUUGCUACCGUGGGCCCUGCUUAUCAAUCAGUCCAAGUGGGACCUCUGGCUGUUUGAGGGAGAGAAGAUUGUUCUACAGGUUCCUGCUGGCAAAAUUAUUAUCCCUCCUAAUUUUCAGGUACUAUAACUCUUUUUUUAAACUAGUAGGAAUUCUUUUCUUUCAACAACCAUCUUUUAUUCUGAGGUUACAUUUAUGUUCUUAACAGACUCAAUCAG
rnacentral:lncRNA from 1 species